GGCAGGGUAGCUCAGUUUGGUUAGAGCGUAGGACUCAUAAGCCUGAGGUCGUGGGUUCGAUCCCCACCCCUGCUACCA
rnacentral:tRNA from 1 species